rnacentral:lncRNA from 1 species
CCCUUCACUGAUAUCCGUAUCUGUUCACUGCAUAAUAUAAUACGAUAAAUACAAAAACUAGCUAAAUCUGGCCAUAAGGUUCAAAUAUCUAAAUAUACAGUACUGAAAACUAAAUAUCAAUACAUCUAUCUGAAAAGCCUCUACACUGUCUGAACUGUGGAGUUGAAGGGACAAUUCCCCAACUGACUGCGUCUACUAAAAUCAUCAAAACACUGAAAUAGAAUAUCCUCGGAUAAUGAGAACUCACUGCCGCACCCACUGCUACAAGAUCUGCCAGCUAAAUAUACUCUGAAUCUUGCUCUUCUGAACCUAUGGUGGGGAAAGCACCAUAGCGCGAAUGCGUC